rnacentral:rRNA from 1 species
GUGAGUCGGCCCCUAAGGCGAGGCAGAGAUGCGUAGCUGAUGGGAAACAGGUCAAUAUUCCUGUACCGAUCAAUAGUGCGAUGUGGGGACGGAGAAGGUUAGCUCAGCCAACUGUUGGAUAUGUUGGUUCAAGCCUGUAGUCGUGCCUGGUAGGCAAAUCCGCCGGGCUUAGAUGAGGGGUGAUAACGAGGC